rnacentral:hammerhead_ribozyme from 1 species
ACCCAGCUGACGAGUCCCAAAUAGGACGAAACGCGUGUCCUGAAU